UAUUUACAAAGUUGCUACAUAAAAGCACAUUUGAAUACGUAUUCCAGGUACCCUGCUCAAAUUAAAUUUUUACAGGUGAGGUAUUUAAUUUUCUCUAUUUAGUGUUUUUAACAGCACCUUAUACUGUAAAAUCCAGUAUUGCAAUGCUUUUACUAUUUCUGUGAAUUGUCUGAAUCCAGAAAAGCUUAAUGAGACACACUGAGUAUUAGAAGGAUUAGUGUGAAAUUUAAUUUGAGUUAAUCUGCUGUACACAGAAGAAUCAUGCAGAAAAGAAUGUAAGCAGGAAUUACCUGUUUUAAAGUACAGCAUCACUAAAUAUUCAGCUCUAUGUAUUUAUUUUAUGAGUUGUGGAGAGAUCUGACCUUGUGACUCUGCUGUACUUAUUUUGGAUUUUACAGUUUCAAGGCUCCUGUUACUUUAUGGCUUUUUUAAAUGGUUUUCAUAUUUUUUCAGGAAAAAAUGUCUGGCUUGUCAACAUUGCAGUUUGUGUCACAGCUAUCUCUAAGGUUCUGUUUCUCUGAUUUCAGGAAUAGAAGAAUACUGUACAGUUUUUACUGUGUUCAAAUGCAGUAUGUGGAAACCACAAACAUUUUCCCACCCACAGCAGGAAUAUGUAGGUUAAAGUGGGAUUUCAAAGACAUGAAUUUUUCAAGACUGGCUGUCAUACAAAUAGAGUGUCAUAGAGUUUCAGCAUCUGUGGAAGAGGAAACAAAAACUAGCAAACGUGAUAGAAAAUAGCAAAGGAAAACUAACCAAAAGAAGUGUUGAACUAAAUCUGCAAUGAUGGUUCUUUUUAACUGACAAGCUGGUAUUUGACAGCCUCUACGACUUCAUCACCCACUACUGAGAAACACCAAUGAGGUACAACGGACUUGAGAUGAGGCUGACAGAGCCGGUGCCUCGGUCCAACACUCACAGCAAUGUGGACUGGGUGCCGCGGGACGGCACAAGAGGGACAAGCCCAGCUCCAGCACCAUCUACUUCGGGGCAGGAUGGAAGAUCCAGCACUGCUGCACGCAUUGGCAAGAGGGUCACGUUUAAUAAGGCACUUGACCAAGUGCAUAUUGUUCAUCACACAAAAUAAAAGUUCUUGUUCUGCACUAA
ensembl:lncRNA